CUCCCAAAGCCUCUCAAUGAUGCUCAAAUCUGGGGGG
rnacentral:ncRNA from 1 species